AGCGUUGCUCGGAAUUACUGGGCGUAAAGCGCACGUAGGCGGAUUGUUAAGUCGGGGGUGAAAUCCUGGAGCUCAACUCCAGAACUGCCUUCGAUACUGGCGAUCUCGAGUUCGGGAGAGGUGAGUGGAACUGCGAGUGUAGAGGUGAAAUUCGUAGAUAUUCGCAAGAACACCAGUGGCGAAGGCGGCUCACUGGCCCGAUACUGACGCUGAGGCACGAAAGCGUGGGGAGCAAACAGG
rnacentral:rRNA from 1 species